rnacentral:rRNA from 1 species
UACAGAGGUCUCAAGCGUUGUUCGGAUUCAUUGGGCGUAAAGGGUGCGUAGGCGGCGCGGUAAGUCGGGUGUGAAAUCUCGGAGCUUAACUCCGAAACUGCAUUCGAUACUGCCGUGCUUGAGGACUGGAGAGGAGACUGGAAUUUACGGUGUAGCGGUGAAAUGCGUAGAUAUCGUAAGGAAGACCAGCGGCGAAGGCGGGUCUCUGGACAGUUCCUGACGCUGAGGCACGAAGGCCAGGGGAGCAAACGGG